AUACGGAGGGUGCAAGCAUUAAUCGGAUUUAUUGGGCGUAAAGGGCGCGUAGGCGGGAACAUAAGUCAGAUGUGAGAUCCUGGAGCUCAACUCCAGAACAGCAUUUGAAACUAUAUUUCUUGAGGGUAGGCGGAGAAAACGGAAUUCCACAUGUAGCGGUGAAAUGCGUAGAUAUGUGGAAGAACAUCGGUGGCGAAGGCGGUUUUCUAGCUUAUUCCUGACGCUGAGGCGCGAAAGCAAGGGGAGCAAACAGGAUUAGAUACCCUGGUAGUCCUUGCCGUAAACGAUGUAUACUUGGUGUAAUUGGACUCAACCCCAAUUGUGCCGGAGCUAACGCGUUAAGUAUACCGCCUGGGGAGUACGCUCGCAAGGGUGAA
rnacentral:rRNA from 1 species